GUGUGUGUGUGUGUGUGUGUGUAUCAGAAGGCUAAAUGUUAUGGCUUUUUUUCUCGCUUGUAUACAAGUAUAUGCCUCUCCUAGGCUGCACUUUUACUUGGCAGCUUCCUAUCAAAUUCUCUCUAGUAGCUGUUGUAAAAUUAACUACCUUCUUAAUCCUUGUUGCUUUUUUCUUUAACAAUUGCAUAUAUUACAAGCACAAAUUGUCAUAGUGUUUUGAAUACAGAAAUAGCAAAUGGUGUGUGUUUGGAUGAUAUAGUACUUUUCCCCCAUUUUUUCCCUUAAGUUUCUGAAAAUAGAAAUGCUACAAAUAUAAUCAGAUUGGUUAAUUAUGCCAUGUAUCAAGGGUCUUAGCCAUGUUAAUUUUGAGUUUUUUAAGCUGUUAAGGAGUUGCUUGUGUUUGGCACCUUUGUAAGAAUGUUAGCUCUGUUUUUUUGCUGCUUUUAUUUAUCAGAAGGUAAAGAUUUAUGCCCAAGCUGUUUUUAGGUGAGUUAUUAAUUCCCCUUAACCUUUCUUUUUCAUAAAAAUUUUGGAGCUGAUGCAUCUUCAUAUGAAUUUUUUUUAAUUAAUUAUUUAGAUAGACAGACAGUUUUCUACUCGUGGAGAGAAAUUUCUAACUCUUUU
rnacentral:misc_RNA from 1 species